ACCAGUCUCUUUUUAUUUCGUAUGCUACUCCUUUCUCUUCUUCAAAGAGAUUCACUACCAUCAUCAGAUUCAUCGCCACCUUCUUAUGUUCUUCUUCUUCCUCUUAGAAUCGACUAAUUUCAGUAUAUUGGGUUUUGAUUAAGUUUAGUAAUUAAGGUUAAUAUGUUGGAGAACUUGGUCUCUGAUUGAAUUGAUUUACUAGUUUUAUAUGUUUGAUAUUCAUGUUUUAUUGGUUGAACUAAGGAUCUGUGCUCCAAUCUAUUAAGGGCUUUUCUAGAUUUUGAAGUUGAUUGUUCUAAAAAUGAAAUCCAGACGUUGCAUGAGUGUUAGGGUUAGGGAUUGUUCUAAACUUUAAGUAUCUCUCUUUAUCUUGGUUUACUUUUUAUUGGUUUUAGCUUAGAAUGGUUUCUUCGUGAAAUUGAUUUUUGUGAUGAAAUUGUUUGCUUUUUUUUUCCCUUAUAAUUUGUGAGUACAGGAGGAGAUCAGUAGAGGUGAAAUACCUGCCAAUUCUUUCAGAUUUUUUUUUUUAUUUUGCGCAACCAUGCUAAAAUGUGAGGGUAUUCUUAAGCUGCACUAUGGAGAAGAUGAGGUUGAUAUGGAUGUGCUUUUUUAAAUGGUUCUUGUGUCCACAAGUGCUUACCAGUUGCUAAAGAUGAAUCUGAUACAAGGAAGCACCUAAGAUUCUAAUGUCAUAAUUAAAAAACAGAGGAAAAUGUACUAUUUUCUAUGAACAUUUCUUGAACUUUUGUUUAAUUGGUCUACUUAGUAGUUGGAAGUAGUUUUAAGCUUCACAUGGAAUGAUAGUUGGGAGAAUGGGCGAUGUUAUAAGUAAUCAAGAUUCUAGAAUUUUUUAGGAAGGUUCAAGAAGAAUUGGAUGAAGUAGAAGGCAAAAACAACAUCGUGGAAUAAUCUCACAUGAAACUACACCCUUUGGAACUUAGAAGCAAUGGCGAAGGAGACUUCAGAGUUGCAUCCUGCAACACCAUUACUGAUUCUCAAAUGAACUUUCAGUCCAGUUUAUUAUUAACGAGAAACUACACCCUUUGGAACUUAUGAUGUAUUUUAGUAUUUGAACUUUUGAAUGAACAAAAAAUUCUAUUUCAGUUUAAUAUGGUCGGUUAACCG